AUUGAACGCUGGCGGCAGGCCUAACACAUGCAAGUCGAGCGAGCGGCGGACGGGUGAGUAAUGUAUGGGGACUGCCCGAUAGAGGGGGAUAACUACUGGAAACGGUGGCUAAUACCGCAUACUAUCGGAUAACCCAUAUGGGAUUAGAUAGUAGGUGGGGUAAAGGCUAACCAAGGCGACGAUCUCUAGCUGGUCUGAGAGGAUGAUCAGCCAAACUGGGACGGCGACACGGCCCAGACUCCUACGGAGGCAGCAGUGGGGAAGAUUGCACAAUGGGCGCAAGCCUGAUGCAGCCAUGCCGCGUGUAUGAAGAAGGCCUUAGGGUGGUAAAGUACUUUCAGCGGUGAGGCGUUACCUGCAGAAGAAGCACCGGCGAACUCCGUGCCAGCCGCCGCGGUAAUUC
rnacentral:rRNA from 1 species